GAUGAACGCUGGCGGCGUGCCUAAUACAUGCCAGUCGAGCGAACAGACGAGGAGCUUGCUCCUCUGACGUUAGCGGCGGACGGGUGAGUAACACGUGGAUAACCUACCUAUAAGACUGGGAUAACUUCGGGAAACCGGAGCUAAUACCGGAUAACAUGUUGAACCGCAUGGUUUAACAGUGAAAGACGGUCUUGCUGUCACUUAUAGAUGGAUCCGCGCCGCAUUAGCUAGUUGGUAAGGUAACGGCUUACCAAGGCAACGAUGCGCAGCCGACCUGAGAGGGUGAUCGGCCACACUGGAACUGAGACACGGUCCAGACUCCUACGGGAGGCAGCAGUAGGGAAUCUUCCGCAAUGGGCGAAAGCCUGACGGAGCAACGCCGCGUGAGUGAAGAAGGUCUUCGGAUCGUAAAACUCUGUUAUUAGGGAAGAACAAAUGUGUAAGUAACUAUGCACGUCUUGACGGUACCUAAUCAGAAAGCCACGGCUAACUACGUG
rnacentral:rRNA from 1 species